AGAGUUUGAUCAUGGCUCAGAGUGAACGCUGGCGGCAGGCCUAACACAUGCAAGUCGAACGGCAGCACGGCAGUAGCAAUACUGUGGGUGGCGAGUGGCGGACGGGUGAGGAAUACAUCGGGAUCUACCCUGUUGUGGGGGAUAACGUAGGGAAACUUACGCUAAUACCGCAUAAGAACUGAGGUUGAAAGCGGCGGACCGCAAGGCGUCGCGCGAUUGGAUGAACCGAUGUCCGAUUAGCUAGUUGGCGGGGUAAAGGCCCACCAAGGCGACGAUCGGUAGCUGGUCUGAGAGGACGAUCAGCCACACUGGAACUGAGACACGGUCCAGACUCCUACGGGAGGCAGCAGUGGGGAAUAUUGGACAAUGGGCGCAAGCCUGAUCCAGCCAUGCCGCGUGGGUGAAGAAGGCCUUCGGGUUGUAAAGCCCUUUUGUCCGGAAAGAAAAGCAUUCGGUUAAUACCCGGGUGUUCUGACGGUACCGGAAGAAUAAGCACCGGCUAACUUCGUG
rnacentral:rRNA from 1 species